rnacentral:lncRNA from 1 species
AGAACUCCACAAAUCCACCACACAACCACAAAUCCACCACGUCGCCACCGCCACUACGACCACAACCACCGUUCCCACCACCGCACUGCAAACUCCACCACCACCGCACAUCACUUCUCACCCAACCACCACAUCACCACCAUACCUACAACAACCCAGUAUGACAUUGCCCUACUACCACCGUCGUGAAAUCAACCCCCGUGCACCUCCACAACUUCGCAUCGCGACGAAUCGAGGCGGUUGCAAACCCCCUCUUCAUAUCGUUUCCCUUCCAAAUUCACCAUCGUCGCCGCCACACCACUACGACCAAAAUCCCAAACUCGACGUUCAGAAUGGAGCUACCAAAUUAGAUGAGGCUACAGAUCGUGGCUGUAGUGUGGGUGACAGGCACACUGUCGUCGCAGAGCGUCGGCAACAAUUGAGGGAUGAUGCCAUCGGAGAAGUUGAAUGAAAAGAGAUGGUCUCCGGAGGUUCUAUCCACAAUCGUCGCGGUCAGCGAUCGUGUACACCGGUGCUGUUGCUGCUACGAGGUGUCGUUUUGUCGAGUUUGAAGCCGUCGGAGAUAGAAG